rnacentral:rRNA from 1 species
AUUGAACGCUGGCGGCAGGCCUAACACAUGCAAGUCGAGCGGAGCGGCGGACGGGUGAGUAAUGCCUAGGAAUCUGCCUGGUAGUGGGGGAUAACGUCCGGAAACGGGCGCUAAUACCGCAUACUAUCAGAUGAGCCUAGGUCGGAUUAGCUAGUUGGUGGGGUAAAGGCCUACCAAGGCGACGAUCCGUAACUGGUCUGCGAGGAUGAUCAGUCACACUGGAACUUAGACACGUUCCAGACUCCUACGGUGGGCAGCAGUUGGGAAUAUUGGACAAUGGGGGGAACCCUGAUCCAGCCAUGCCGCGUGUGUGAAGAAGGCCUUAUGGUUGUAUAGCACUUUAAGCGAGGAGGCGUUACUCGCAGAAUAAGCACCUGCUAACUCCGUGCCAGCAGCCGCGGUAAUUC